rnacentral:rRNA from 1 species
GAACGCUGGCGGCAAGCCUUACACAUGCAAGUCGAGCGGUAACAUUUCUAGCUUGCUAGAAGAUGACGAGCGGCGGACGGGUGAGUAAAGCAUAGGGAUCUGGCCAAUAGAGGGGGAUAGCCCGGAGAAAUCCGGAUUAAUACCGCAUACACUCUAUGGAGAAAAAGCAGGGGAUCUUCGGACCUUGCGCUAUUGGAUGAGCCUAUGUCGGAUUAGUUAGUUGGUGGGGUAAAGGCCUACCAAGGCGACGAUCCGUAGCUGGUCUUAGAGGAUGAUCAGCCACAUCGGGACUGAGACACGGCCCGAACUCCUACGGGAGGCAGCAGUGGGGAAUAUUGCACAAUGGGCGCAAGCCUGAUGCAGCUAUGCCGCGUGUGUGAAGAAGGCCUUAGGGUUGUAAAGCACUUUCAGUAGUGAGGAAAAGUGUUGUGUUAAUAGCGCAGUGCUGUGACGUUAGCUACAGAAGAAGGACCGGCAAACUCCGUG